GACGAACGCUGGCGGCGUGCUUAACACAUGCAAGUCGAACGGUAAGGCCCUUCGGGGUACACGAGUGGCGAACGGGUGAGUAACACGUGGGUGAUCUGCCCUGCACUUCGGGAUAAGCCUGGGAAACUGGGUCUAAUACCGGAUAGGACUCCGGACUGCAUGGUCUGGGGUGGAAAGCUUUUGCGGUGUGGGAUGGGCCCGCGGCCUAUCAGCUUGUUGGUGGGGUGAGGGCCUACCAAGGCGACGACGGGUAGCCGGCCUGAGAGGGUGACCGGCCACACUGGGACUGAGAUACGGCCCAGACUCCUACGGGAGGCAGCAGUGGGGAAUAUUGCACAAUGGGCGCGAGCCUGAUGCAGCGACGCCGCGUGAGGGAUGACGGCCUUCGGGUUGUAAACCUCUUUCAGCAUCGACGAAGCGAAAGUGACGGUAGGUGCAGAAGAAGGACCGGCCAACUACGUGCCAGCCGCCGCAGUAA
rnacentral:rRNA from 1 species